rnacentral:tRNA from 1 species
GCCGGCGUAGUUCAGUUGGCAGAGCACGCGCCUUGUAAGCGCGAACGCGCCGGUUCGAACCCGGCCGCCCGCC